UCGGGAAUAUUGGGCAAUGGGCGAAAGCCUUACCCAGCAACGCCGCGUGAGGGAAGAAGGUUUUCGGAUUGUAAACCUCUGUCCUGGGGGACGAAGGAAGUGACGGUACCCCGGGAGGAAGCCCCGGCUAACUACGUGCCAGCAGCCGCGGUAAUACGUAGGGGGCGAGCGUUGUCCGGAAUUAUUGGGCGUAAAGGGCGCGUAGACGGCCGAGUAAGUUAUAGGUGAAAGCCCAUCUUUCAAGGAUGGAAUUGCCUGUAAUACUGCCUGGCUUGAGUGCAGGAGAGGGAAGCGGAAUUCCUAGUGUAGCGGUGAAAUGCGUAGAUAUUAGGAGGAACACCAGUGGCGAAGGCGGCUUUCUGGACUGUAACUGACGUUGAGGCGCGAAAGCGUGGGGAGCAAACAGGAUUAGAUACCC
rnacentral:rRNA from 1 species